rnacentral:rRNA from 1 species
CCUACGGGUGGCAGCAGUGGGGAAUAUUGCACAAUGGGGGAAACCCUGAUGCAGCGACGCCGCGUGCGUGAAGAAGUAUCUCGGUACGUAAAGCUCUAUCAGCAGGGAAGAAAAUGACGGUACCUGACUAAGAAGCCCCGGCUAACUACGUGCCAGCCGCCGCGGUAAUACGUAGGGGGCAAGCGUUAUCCGGAUUUACUGGGUGUAAAGGGAGCGUAGACGGCAGGACAAGUCUGGAGUGAAAUCCCGGGGCUUAACCCCGGAACUGCUUUGGAAACUGUGCGGCUGGAGUGCAGGAGGGGUAAGCGGAAUUCCUGGUGUAGCGGUGAAAUGCGUAGAUAUUAGGAGGAACACCGGUGGCGAAGGCGGCUUACUGGACUGUAACUGACGUUGAGGCUCGAAGGCGUGGGUAGCAAACAGGAUUAGAUACCCGUGUAGUC